rnacentral:tRNA from 1 species
CGUCAGUAUAGUUUAACCAAAACAUUAAGCUGUGGACUUAAAAAUAAGG